GACGAACGCUGGCGGCGUGCUUAACACAUGCAAGUCGAACGAAGAGCGAUGGAAGCUUGCUUCUAUCAAUCUUAGUGGCGAACGGGUGAGUAACGCGUAAUCAACCUGCCCUUCAGAGGGGGACAACAGUUGGAAACGACUGCUAAUACCGCAUACGAUCUAAUCUCGGCAUCGAGGAUAGAUGAAAGGUGGCCUCUACAUGUAAGCUAUCACUGAAGGAGGGGAUUGCGUCUGAUUAGCUAGUUGGAGGGGUAACGGCCCACCAAGGCGAUGAUCAGUAGCCGGUCUGAGAGGAUGAACGGCCACAUUGGGACUGAGACACGGCCCAGACUCCUACGGGAGGCAGCAGUGGGGAAUCUUCCGCAAUGGACGAAAGUCUGACGGAGCAACGCCGCGUGAGUGAUGACGGCCUUCGGGUUGUAAAGCUCUGUUAAUCGGGACGAAAGGCCUUCUUGCGAACA
rnacentral:rRNA from 1 species